UUUUCUAGACAUAACACUAAAGCGGAUGCAGAGCUACUGAGCCACUCUCUAUUCCCUGUCUAAAGCAUCUCCACCCUUUCAUUCUAAGCAGGUACCCUGCUUCUAAUACCACAAAAAGCAGGAUAUAGAUGAAUUGUUAGCUGCCUAGAUGCCGAGACCCGACUACCUCUAUUGUUGCAACAUCAAGAGAUUGCACUAUAAGAAUGGGCAGAACUCACUCUGGAAGAGCUAGUGGGAAUAAUGCCAUUUGGGAAGCACACAACAUAGGCAGCACAGUGGAGCACAGGAAAGUCUGGAGCGUUAGUUCCUGGGUCCUGAAGGAAUGAGAACUUUCACUGGAGUCUGGAUUCCACUGUAGACAAAAUCCUCUUUGUAUCGCCAAAUGACUCCCAUUUUCCUAAACUUACUCUAAGAAUAUCUUUUAACAGCAAUUUGAAUAAACCGACUCACAUACCACUGUGA